GAUGAAGAACGUAGUGAAAUGCGAUAAGUAAUGUGAAUUGCAGAAUUCAGUGAAUCAUCGAAUCUUUGAACGCACAUUGCGCCCCCUGGUAUUCCGGGGGGCAUGCCUGUUCGAGCGUCAUUUCACCACUCAAGCCUGGCUUGGUGUUGGGCGACGUCCCCUUUGGGGACGCGCCUCGAAACGCUCGGCGGCGUGGCACCGGCUUUAAGCGUAGCAGAAUCUUUCGCUUUGGAAGUCGGGGCCCCGUCUGCCGGAAGACCUACUCGCAAGGUUGACCUCGGAUCAGGCAGGGAUACCCGCUGAACUUAAGCAUAUCAAUAAGCGGAGGA
rnacentral:misc_RNA from 1 species